UACGUAGGUGGCAAGCGUUGUCCGGAUUUAUUGGGCGUAAAGGGUGCGUAGGUGGCACGAUAAGUCUGUAGUAAAAGGCAGCGGCUCAACCGCUGUUGGCUAUGGAAACUGUCGAGCUGGAGUGCAGAAGAGGGCGAUGGAAUUCCAUGUGUAGCGGUAAAAUGCGUAGAUAUAUGGAGGAACACCAGUGGCGAAGGCGGCCGCCUGGUCUGCAACUGACACUGAAGCACGAAAGCGUGGGGAGCAAAUAGG
rnacentral:rRNA from 1 species